rnacentral:tRNA from 1 species
GGAGUUGUGGCUCAGCGGUAGAGUGCUUGCCUUACACGCACGAGACCCUGGGUUCAAUCCUCAGCACCA